rnacentral:rRNA from 1 species
UGCCUCGAGGAGGGGGAUAACAGCGGGAAACUGCUGCUAAUACCCCAUAUGCCGAAAGGUGAAAAGAAAUUUGCCUUGAGAGGGGCUCGCGUCCGAUUAGCUAGUUGGUGAGGUAAGAGCUUACCAAGGCGACGAUCGGUAGCUGGUCUGAGAGGAUGAGCAGCCACACUGGGACUGAGACACGGCCCAGACUCCUACGGGAGGCAGCAGUGGGGAAUUUUCCGCAAUGGGCGAAAGCCUGACGGAGCAACGCCGCGUGGGGGAAGAAGGCCUUUGGGUUGUAAACUCCUUUUCUCAGGGAAGAAGAACUGACGGUACCUGAGGAAUCAGCCUCGGCUAACUCCGUGCCAGCAGCCGCGGUAAUACGGAGGAGGCAAGCGUUAUCCGGAAUUAUUGGGCGUAAAGCGUUCGUAGGCGGCGUUUCAAGUCUGCUGUCAAAGGCCGAGGCUCAACUUCGGAAAGGCAGUGGAAACUGAAAAGCUAGAGGUCGGUAGGGGCAGAGGGAAUUCCCAGUGUAGCGGUGAAAUGCGUAGAUAUUGGGAAGAACACCGGUGGCGAAAGCGCUCUGCUGGGCCGAACCUGACGCUGAGGGACGAAAGCUAGGGGAGC